AUUUUAAAUUUUAUUAGUAUUUAGAUUUAAAAAUAAUUAUUAAUAAUUAAAAUAUUAUUAAUUUAUUAAAUAUUUUAGUAUUUUAAAGAAAAAAAGAUUUUAAUUAUAGUUUAUUAGUAAUGUAAAUGAAUAAUUUUAAAUAUUUAAAAGAAUUUUUUAGUUAAAGUACCUUUUGUAUCAGGGUUUAUUAAAUUGAUAAUUAAUAUUUAAUUAAUCUCGAAUUUAAAAGUUUAAAUUUAUUAUUUUUUUUAUUGUAGAAUAAAUAUUUAUAAUAAUAAAUUAGUAAUGAAAUGUUAUUCGUUUUUAAAAAUAUCUAGUUUUUUCAGAAAAAAAUUUAAUUUUAAUAUAAUUUAUAAUUUUAAUUAAAAAUUUAAUUUAAAUUUUAAUUUAUAUAAAGAUUUUUAGGGAUAAGCUUAAAAAUUAAAUUAUAUUUUAAUAUAUUUAUUAUAAUUAAAUUUAUGAUUAGAAAUUUCAAUAAUAUAAAUAAUUUUAUAAUUUAUAAAUAAUUAUUUUGAUUUUAUAUAAAAAAUUAAUUAAUAUAUGAAAAUAUUUAAUAUAAUUAUUUAUUAAAUAAAUAAUGAUAAAAUUAGUAUAUUUAUUAAAAAAAAAUUUUAAUAAAAAAAAAAUUAAAAAUAAGGAAUUCGGCAAAAUAAUUAUUCGCCUGUUUAUCAAAAACAUGGUUUUUUGUUUAUAAUUUAAGAUUUAAUCUGCCCACUGAAAUUUUUAAAGGGCCGCAGUAUAUUGACUGUGCAAAGGUAGCAUAAUCAUUUGUCUUUUAAUUGUUGACUUGUAUGAAUGAUUGGACGAGAUAAUUACUGUCUCAUUUUUAUUAAAAAUAAAAUUUUAUAUUUAAGUUAAAAAGCUUAAAUAAAUUUUAAAGACGAGAAGACCCUAUAGAGUUUUAUUAAUUUAAUAAAAAUUUUUAUUAAAAAUAUAGUUUUUUUAUGAAAAUUAAUUUAAUUGGGGUGAUUAAAAAAUUUAAUAAACUUUUUAAAAAAAAUUCAAAAAAUUUUGUUUAUUUUGAUCCAGAAAUUUUGAUUAAUUGAGUAAAUUACCUUAGGGAUAACAGCGUUAUUAUUUUGGAAAGUUCAUAUUUAUAAAAUAGUUUGCGACCUCGAUGUUGAAUUAAGAUAAAUUUUUGGUGCAGUAUUUAAAAUUUUUAGUCUGUUCGACUAUUAAAUUCUUACAUGAUUUGAGUUCAAACCGGUGUAAGCCAGGUUGGUUUCUAUCUUAAAAAAUAUAAAAUAUUUUAGUACGAAAGGACCAUAUAUUUAAUUAAAAAUUUAAUAGAAG
rnacentral:rRNA from 1 species